rnacentral:lncRNA from 1 species
UUGACAUUAACAGAAGUGACAGAAGCAGACAGGCCUGCUGCAAUAGCAACAGCUACAAUACUAUCAACAACAAGAACAGUAGUAACAAGCAUGCUGGAGAAUGGAAUAUUGAAGGUAAUAAUUUUUUUUUUUGUCUUCUUUAAAAACCUGCUAUGAACAAAAUGUAACACUGUAAUAUAUAACAAGCUAUUCUAUUAAGCGUAACAGACAUCUGUCUAGAAAAUGACUUUGUUAUGUGUAAUUAAGUAUACGGUUCUGUUAGAUGUUAGAUGUCAGUAAUAAUAUGCUACUUAAGAAAUUCAGCAUAACUUUAUAAUCCAAUAAAACUUUUAUGUAAGUGUCAUUUUCCCUUUCCUUAUUCAUCCAAUAUCUGAUUGAUCUUUACUAUUUCUAUCAUUAUUUGUAACAUUUUACUUGCUUUCUCGCUCCCUUUCUUUAUAUAUAUAUAUAUAUAUAUAUAUAUAUAUAUAUAUAUAUAUAUAUAUAUAUAUAAUAUACACACACACACAUACAUAUGUUUCUAUGUAUAAAUUUCUAAGUAAAAAUUUCUUUCCUACCUUAUACACACAUACACUUGAGUACUCUGAGAUAUUUUUAUAUGGAAAUAAAGUAAUGAACACACACACACACACACACACACACACACACACACACACACACACACACACACACACACACACACAUGCACAGACACAAUUGAUAGUGGAGGUGGGUGACUGAAAGCAUGGUAUCCAGAGAAAGAAGAGGUUGGAAAAGGUCAAAGUAGCUACUGCCUGUACUAGCAACAAAUGAUCUCUCCCUCAAAGUGAAGCGGUGGGGGAAUUAUGUGAUACAUGUGCAUGUGGUGAGAUGCUGCAUGGCACUGAAACAUGGGUCUUGAAUACAGAGGAUCUGAAAAGACAAGAAAGAAAUGAAACAAGCAUACUUCACUGGAUGUGUAAUGUUAAGGCACAUGAAUGAUGGAAUACAAAUAAGCUUUGGAAAAACUGAACAUAAGAGGAAUCAUAUAUACAGGUAUGUGAUGCAUCUGGAAGAUAACAGCUGUAUAAAGAAGUGCCACAUGUUCAAAAUGAAUGGAAUCUGUGGAAAAUGGAAACUGAGGAAAACUUUGGAUGAAGUGGAUGGAGAUUGAACUCAAGAUGUUGUCUCUCACAAAUGAGAUGAAAAAGGAACAUAUUGAUUGUGGAUAUUCAAUGCUGGAGAAGACCCAACUGCAUGUGCAAGUAUGGAAAAUUGAAUAUCAAAAAUGAUUGUAGUGAUAGAGCCUAAAAGGCAUUUUAUAUAUAUAUAUCUUUUACUCGUUACAGUCAUUAGACUGUGGCCAUGCUGGGGCACCACCCCGAAGAAUUUUAGUUAAAUGAAUCAACCCCAGUACUUAUACUAUCACUCCCUUUGGAGCUAAGUUACAGGGAUGUUAACACACCAACACCAGUUGUCAAGCGAUGGUGGGAGACAAAUACAGACAGACAGACACAUGCACAUACACAUAUAUAUACACACACAACAGGUUAUCUUCAGUUUGCCAACCAAAUCCAUUCACAAGGCUUUGGUCAGCCUGAGGGGUAUAGAAGGCACUAGCCCAAAGUGCUAUGCGGUGGCACUGAAUCUGGAGCCAAGUUGUUGGGAAGUAAACUUCUUAUCACACACCCUCACCUGCAUCUAUAUAUAUAUAGUUGUGUAAAUGUGCAUAAACAACAAAUUAGGGAUUUAUCUCUUAGGAAAGUCCCAAGCAGCAAACAUCUAGAUAUUUGUGCAAAUGGAAAAUUUAAAAUAUUCCCAUUUUACAAAAUAAAUGAUAAAAAUGAUCAAAUAUGAUCAAAUACUUUAUAAGAAUUCUAAAUCUUACAUAUUCCCUUUUUACAAAAUAUUAGAUAAAAAUGAUUAACAAUGAAAGACAAAGGAAGAAUACUUUAUGAAAACCCUAAGUCUGAAAAUAAACUGGAAAUAGUUAAUACUACCACUACUCCAAAAAUAACAACUUUCUCUUUCAUACUUUAUCCAAGAACAUGUGUUUGAAAAGAUAAUCGAAAACAUCUACUCACACUAGAAAGAAACUUCUUCCACAAAGGUUAGUGACAUUCUGAUAAAGAAUUUAUAGCUUAAAAACCCCCCAGCUUUUUUUAUACUUAUUAAAACUGUAUUAAGCAAUUUUCAUAAAGGCUUUUAUAUAUAUAUAUAUAUUUGUCUUGCAAGUUACUUGGUGACCCUGUCAGUCCAGGUGCCACUUAAAAUGCAUCCAGUCUACACUGUAAUGUCGUUAGCAUUUGGAAGGGCAUCCAGCUGUAAAAACCUUGCCUGAGCUUGUGCCACGUAAAAAACACUAAGUCCACUCUGCUAAGUGGUUGGUGUUAGGAAGGGCAUCUAGCUGUAAAAAUCUUAUCAAAACAGUCAUUGAAGUCUGGUGCAGGCAUCUGCCCAGCCAGCUCCUGUCAAACCGUCCCACCCAUGCCAGCAUGGAAGGCAGACAUUAAACUAUGAUGAUUAUGAUGAUGAUGAUGAUAUAUAGAUACAUACAUACUGUCAAAUCUGCACCUGCUACCUCCCCUGAAUUGUGGAUGCAGUCUCUUCUCUCCAUCAUUCAUGCAGUUCAUAUAAUGAUAGAUAGUAGAAGUUUACAAUCAUCAUCUUCUUCCAAUGAUCCACAAGGCCUCUGUAUAAAAUGAAAAUGUAUCAGAUCUGUUUGUACACAAUACACUCAACCUUCAGCUUUUCUGUAUUGCCAGUCAUCACUCACUCUCUCCUGGGUCACUUCUUAUUGUCAUCCACCACUUACUUUUACUAUUGUUCACCUCAUCAUCUUCUCCCCUCUUAUUCCAAUGAGUUCAGCAAGGAGUUUAGCAUGCAGACAUGCAAGCAAAACCCGGGAUAGCAAGGCAUCAAAGUAAAUUUAGCAAAGAUUUAAGUUUUAGUAAGUUGGAAAGAAAGCAGGACCUUGCUGUUAUGAGGGAAUUGGGCAUGCUCAAUAUAUAUUUUUUUUAAUCUUUUUAUACUGGUUUCAAUUACUAGACUGCUGCCAUGCUGGAGCACUGUCUUGAAAGAGAUGGACCCCUGUACAUAUUUUUAUGUCUGGUACUUAUUCUACCAGUCUCUUUUGCUGAAGUGUUAAGUUACAGAAAUGUCUGGCUGCUUCCCAACUACAUAGUUCAGGGUUCAGUCCCACUGUGUGACACCUUGGGCAAGUGUUUUCUACUAUAGCCUCAGGCCCACCAAAGCCUUGCAGAUGGAUUUGGUAGAUGGAAACUGAAAGAAGCCCAUUGUAUAUAUGUAUUAUCAUCAUCAUCAUCAUCAUUUAGCAUCUGCUUUCCAUGCUGGCAUGGGUUAGAUAGUCUGACUGGAAUUGGUAAGCUGGAGAGCUGUACCAGGUCUGUCUAUUUGACAUAGUUUGUAUGGCUGAAUGCCCUUCCUAACACCAAUCACCUCAAGAGUGUAACGAGUGCCUUUUAUGUGUCACCAGCACCAGCUAUGACUAUGAUUUCACUUGGUUUAAGAAGUCUUUUCAAGCAUAGCAAAUCACCAAAGGUCUCAAUCACUCAUCAUCGUCUCCGCCCAACAUUCAAAGAUCAUGCUUCACCACCUCGUCCCAGGUCUUCCUGGGUCUCUGUAUUUUUGCUUGUUCCACCAUCACUGCUUGACAACCGGUGUUGGUGUGUUUAUGUCCCAGUACCUUAGUGGUUCAGCAAAAGAGACCAAUAGAGAGUAAGUUUUAAAAAAAGUACUGGUAUCGAUACAUUUGACGAAAAUUUCAAGGCAGUGCCCCAACAUGGCCACAGUCAAAUAACUGAAACAAAUAAAAGAUAAAAUCUAACAACAGCUAUAGAGUGGGGCAAACAGAGACACAAGGACACACACACACACACAUACUACAGACUUCUACCAAAUUCACACAGAAGGCAUUGGCUGACCCAGGGCUAUAGUAGAAGACACUUGCUUGAGUUGUCAUGGAAUAUGGAAUAAACCCCAAGUCAUGUGGUCACAGAGUGAGCUUCUUAACCACACAGUCAUGCCUGUGCCUAGAGAAAGGAUAGAGGUUCUGUAUGGUGUAUUUAGCAGAUUCACAGGCCGCCAGAAAAGGUUUGACUUUCUAUGUGGUAGGUACACCAGAGUAAUUAGCAGUAAAAGUGCAUGCAAAAUAAAUUCCUUCAAAUAUUUAGAAAGGCUCCCUAGAAGUAAUUAACAGUUUUUGUUAUAACUAAUCCACUGCUAUUUAGGUGACCCAAUUAGCAGUAGGAAUGGGUGUACAGAUAGCAUAGUAACCUAAGUAAGAACAUGGUGGGAAAAGUUCAAAGAGUUAUUAUAUCUACUAGCAACAAAAGAUACAAGCAUCAUAUAAUCUAUCUUUUACUUCAGAGUAGAGGAAAGAUUGUAUGAGGUUUAUGUAUGAAGUGCGAUGCUGUAUGGUUGCAAGAUAUGAGCUUAGACUGAUAAAAAUUUGUGAUGAUUGGAAAAAAAAAAAAAGUGAGCAUCUUAUGGUCUGUUUGUGUGUGUAUUCUUUUCUACUCUAGGCACAAAACCCGAAAUUUUGGGGGAGGGGUGGGGGCAGUUGAUUAGAUCAACUCCAGUAUGCAACUGAUACUUAAUUUAUCAACCCCCAAAAAGAUGAAAGGCAAAGUUGACUUCGGCAGAAUUUGAACUCAGAAGUGAGCAUGAAUGGCAGAGCACAAAUGAGGUGAGGGAAUAGUUGGAUAAAUAAGGAAUUGGAUGUAGUGCAUCUUCAAGAUGCUUCUGUUUCACUUUCAUCAGUGUGUCCAAAGAUGAAACAGUAUUUAUAUGUGUAUAAUAGGAACAGGCAUGGCUGAAUGUUUAAGAAGUUUGCUUCCUGACAAUGUGGUUCCAGGUUCAUUCCUACUGCAUGGCACCUUGUUUUCCUUUCGGUUGGACCCAGGUGUCUCUAGUCUUCCUGCAGACAACCUCUCUCAUGCUGGUGGCAUAAUAAAAUUUAUUCAGUCCAUGCACUAAAUUAGUUUGGUGAUAGGGAAAGUAUCUAGCAGAAAAACAAAAAUCCUGAAAAAGAAACCCUAACCCUAACAACAUAUGCCAGGCAUGGCUGUGUAGUAAUAAGUUUGCUUCCCAACCACAUGACACCUUGGGCAAGUGUAUUCUACUAUAGCCUCAGGCUGACCAAAGCCUUGUGAUGGAUUUGGUAGACAGAAACUGAAAGAAGCCAGUUGUAUAUAUAUAUAUAUAUAUAUAUAUAUUUAUGUGCAUAUGUCUUUGUGUCUGUGUUUGUUUCCUGCCACUGCUUGAUAACCAGUGUCGGUGUGUUUACAUCCCCAUAACAGUGGUUCAGCAAAAGAGACCAACAGACUAUGUAUCUGGCUUUAAAAAAAAAUAGCUCUGGUGUCAGUUCAUUCAACUAAAAAUUCUUCAAGGUGGUGUCCCAACAGGCUUAAUGACAGAAACGAGUAAAAGAUAAAAGAUAAGGAAGUUGGCCAGUUUUUUUCUGUUGCUAUAUGUACAAGAUGACAAGGACCAUGAUGAAUAAGCAAGAUGCAGUAAGAUUCAUUCAAACUAUGCCAUCAUGGGAAGUUGGAUGUAAACUGAUAAACUGAUGUUAAUGAUAAUGAUGAAGAGGAUGAUUUAAGAGACAUCCAAUUAAGUCACUCAUGUGGUCCUUUUUCUUUAAAAACUUACUUGUUUCAUUACUCUUUUUUAUAUUUAACCCUUUGAGCCUGCAGCACCAGUUUAUCAGUGGAUGGCUUAUUUUUCUCUAUACCGUAACACUGCUCUACUGGUGGAGUGCAUCUGGAAGCCAGAUAUAUGGUCAAAUAAGGUUCAGGAAGUCAGGGUUCAAAGGGUUAAGUGUCACAGACCUAGAAUGAAACAAAUGAAACCAUGAGGUAGCAGAAAAUGAAAACAAAAUUACGGGGUGGGGGUGGGGGAUGAGAAAUGCAAGAGAGGAAACAUUUUUCAAAGUGACAUUAAAACUGAAAUAAUUAGAGCGUGUCAAAUGAUUCUGAUAUUUGACAAUUUUCCUAUUUGCCUAUUUUGUUCUAUGACAUGCAACAGGAGCUAAACAAAUACAAUGUCACCACUUUGAAAAAAAAAUGCAAAUUUGUGAAUGAAUGAGUCGUGUAACAGGAGCUAAAUAAAUACAAUGUCACCACUUAAUAAAAGAAAAAUGCAAUUUGUGAAUGAAUGAGUAAUUUACACUUGAAUCUAUGCAAUAAUUUAUUAUUUCAACAUCAUUCUUUGUGUUUUCAAAUUCAAAAUAAACAAAUGAACAAAAAAUGAUGUAAACACACAAACACACAUGCACAAAUUAACAUUUACAGUUUAAAAUUAAGUGUGGCAUUCAAAUUCAUCAUCAUCAUCAUCAUCAUUUAAUGUCUGCUUUCCAUGCUAGCAUGGGUUGGACGAUUUGACUGAGGACCGUCAAACCAGAUGGCUGCACAAGGCUCCAAUUUGAUCUGGCAGAGUUUCUACAGCUGGAUGCCCUUCCUAAUGCCAACCACUCUGAGAGUGUAGUGGGUGCUUUUACAUGCCACUGGCACGAGAGCCAGUCAGAUGGGAUAGGCAAUGGCCACGCUCAAAUGGUGUUUUUUAUGUGCCACCUGCAGAGGAGCCAGUCCAGUGGCACUGGCAGAAUGGAAAAAAGAGCCAAAAGAAAGUAGAAGCUAUUUAAACAGAUCAUUAAUCCAUAUCAACAAAAAUUAAAAUUAAAAAAAAAAAAAUUCUUUCUACUAUAGGCACAAGGCCUAAACUUUUGGUGGUAGAGGGCUAGUCAAUUACUUUAAGCCCAGUGCUCAUAUGGUACUUGUUUUAACAAAUCCAAAUGGAAAAAAGGCAAAGUCAACCUCACUGAAAUUUGAACACAGAACAUAAAGAUAGAUGAAAUGCCUUUUGCCCAGCAAGUUAACAAUUCAACCAGCUCGCAGCCUUUCAAAAUAAUGAAAAGAAAAUUGUUUUGAUUUUCUUUUCCUAUCUAACACUGUUUUUAAAAAGCCUGAUAUUAUUUUACUGGUGUCAGUCACUGGACCGUGACAAAGUUGAGUCAGUACCUUCAACCCCAUUGCUUGUUUCAAUACGAUACUUAUUUUUAAAAAUUUCUAUGUGGUGAACCAAUAAGUUAUUUAGUAUAAGGGACACAGCAUAAGCAACAACACAUACAGAGAUAUGUAUGAAUAUAUCUAAUCUCAAACAACUAUUCAUUUGACCCAUGCUAGCAUGAAAAAGAAACAUUAAAUGAAUGAAUGAACACAUGUGUGUGUGUGUGUGUGUGUGUGUGUACAUAUACCAACAUUGUCAUAAACAUCAACAUCUUUUUAAUGCAGAUUUUAUAAUCUUUGAAUACUUUUCCUGUCACCUGUUUCCAAGCAAGGUAAUAUUUCUCCAUGGUGAGACAUGUUUUCAUAGAUGAUUUGAAAUGAAGGACAGUGCUUGUAUGACAGUGAUCCUUACUUUACAACCACAGUGUGGUGUCCAAGGAAAGGACACACACACACACACGGGAUCCAGGGAAGUUAUCUAAAUUCCAUUCACAAGGUAUUGAUCAAGUUGAGGCUGUAUUAGAAGACACUCGGUCAAAGCAACGUGCAGUGCAACUGAUUCUGGAACAAAAUGGGUGUCAAGCCAACUUCUUAGCUACAUAGUAAUGAUAUCAACUUGAAAUUACUCAAGUGAAAUAAUUUAGGUCCACAAUUAGAAAUUAUUCAACGAACGACCUAUCUCUACUAUGGCAACAAUAAUAUCCCAUUAGGCUUGAGAAGAUAAAUCCUUCUGAAAACAAAUGUUGUUUCUUUUUUUCUGAAUUGUUUUGUUAUCAUUCUGAACUGUUGUGUCAUCAACUAACCAAAAUGAGUAACUAGCUAGCAAGCUACUUUACCAGUACACUAACUAAUUAACUUUUCCUCUAUUGUCCAACCAUAUGUAAUGAAAUAUUUUUAUUAAUAUAUAUCUAUAUACUCACUCCUUGCACCAACUAAUUCUUCUUUAUCUACUGCUUCUAUUUAAACUAAUAUCAACAUCAACACCUUUUUCUUUUAUACAGAUAUAGUAUCUUCAACUUACUAAAUAAUACAGCAAAAUGCGACAAGACGCUCUUCUAAAGGUAGUGUCCAUUAUAAACUUAUUCAGAAGUUUACUUUAUUAUUUUAAAUGCUUUCUUCGAGUCUUAAAAUUAACCUCAUAUCUUAUACAUUUGCUAUAAUUUUAUAUUACAUUCUCUUCUUUGUAAUCAAUCUAUUUUAGUUGUCUUCUUCAAACAGAAAAAAAACCCCUCUAAACGACAAAAAUGAAAAAAAAACAUUCAUAAUCAGUUGUUUUAUACAUUAUGAAAUUUCAUCAAUACACGGUACUGAGUUUACAACAAAUUUUAUUACAGUCAGGUCAACACCCUCUACAACAUUUUUUCUGUUCCCUUUUCUUUAUAUUGCUUACAUCUUUAUUUAUUUCAACAUUUUACUUGAAUGUUGUUCAACAAAAAAAGAGUUUCUUCCUGUUACAGAACAGCUUUGUCUUAUAAAUCAACACUGAAUAAUAAUUCGUUUAAAUACUUUCUGCCAAAUUCAAUGUUUCUGCCCUCUUCUUUUCCCAAGCAUCUCUAAUCAAGCUGUUACAGAAAAUAUUCUUUAUUUUCUAUAUAUUUCUCAUGCAAGUUCUCUUUUUUUGCUUUACUUUAUUCGAUCAUAUCUCUGCUUAAAUAAUCAUUUGAGGAGCACCAUGUCAUCAUUAUCAUUAUAUCAACAUCUGGUUUUCUAAGCUGACAUGUAUAUGAUAUCAUCAUUCUCUUUACAUAUAUCUGUGUGAGAGUGUGUAAGCAUAUUUCUUUUGUUUUGUUAAUUUUUUCUACAGCUGUUUUCCAUGCUAACAUGGAUUAGGUGAAUAUAUCAUUGAGGCAUUGUUUGAAAAACCAGAUGGCCUACUCGUUGCUAAUACUGUUUUAACA